CUACAAUUUUCAUUGUGCACCAAGUAAUGAAACCAUUAAAACCUAAGUGGUUCAUAGGCUUAUCCUUACACAUAUAAUUAUACUACAUCACAUACUUUUACUGGAGUGCUGGAGUCAUCCGUUAACAUUUCAUCCACAACAUAGGCAUUUCAGAAAUUAUUCGUAUCUCAUGAUCAUAGUAAUGCAUAGAAUUGUUGGAUUGUUUUGGGUCCAGUCUGGACAAUACUAGAAGG
rnacentral:misc_RNA from 1 species